rnacentral:lncRNA from 1 species
CUACUCUUUUUCUUUAUUCUUUGUUAUUUCAAACACGUUAUCAACAUUUUUUGUUAUUUCAUAACACGUUAUCAGUAUUCUUUGUUAUUUCAUAACACAUUAUCAGCACGAUACUCUACUAUAUUGAGUAUAUGCUUUAAAAUAUUGAAGCAGUUUGAAACUUCAAUCAUCAGCCGAAUCAAGGUGAAAUUAUAAUUGUCAAAAUAAUCUCAAGGUGAGUAUGGAAUUUGAUAUAAUCAAAUUCAAUUUACACCAAAUAUAUAAUUGUUAUAAACUCUUAGAUUUUGGUACUUUAAGUACGGUUGUGAAUCUCUAUGUAACAUUGAGUAGCAGGUAUGUUUAAGGUUGUAAUUAAUUUUGAAAUUUACUUUCUCACAAAAAAAAAAAAGAAAUUGCUCUACAGUAAAUUACCUUAAGAGUAAUUACUUUUUUAUAAUUAGUAUUACGUUCUUGCAUGUUAAUAUUGAAUUUAAGAAAUACAAGUGGAGCCACUGAAAUAUGUGCUUGAUUAUCAUAUUGUAUCCCUAGAAUAUGAUAUAAAGGAUCCUAUAUUAAUUUUAUUUAUAUGUGAAUAGCAUGUAUUUGCUAACUAGAUCUAAAAUUUUAUGGCUGUGAUUUUAUUUUUAUGUAGUAUUAUAUCCAUUAUCAUUAGAUAAAUAUCAUAAAGAUCAAAUUUGUAUAUGCCUAAAAUAAUCACAGAGUAGUGAUAUUAUUAUAGGCUCAAAUUUAUAUUUUAUUAUACGUUAUUAUUUAUGUUAUUGGUUGAAGAAAAGAUGAUUGAUUCAAAUCCUAAAAUACCAAAAGAAUAAGAUAUUGGAUUAGAGUUCCAAUGCAACAUGAUAAAAUAUUGGGUUCAAAUCUAAUCGAUGUACGUCUAAGACGCCUUUAUAUGAAUAAGACGUUGUGUUUAAAUCUCAAUGCACCAUAUUGAUGAUAUCAUGAUGGCUAAGGCAAAAUAAUGCGUAUUUCAUGAAAAGUGAUGAAACAUGUCCUAUUGAAAUAUGUUCCAUUCCUGAAAUGAAUGUGGUAGCAGUGCAUAACAUGUCUGAAUGAACACAAGUGGUUGAAUAGAUGCACAUAAACGUGGAAAGGGACAAAAUAAUAAUAUUUUUCACAUGUUUGCAUGCCUUGAUCUUAAAAGAGACUAUAAGCUAUCAUAAUUUGAUAGACUUAAGACACGAUUAUAUUCCAAACCUGGAGAAUGAGAAUCUUAUUAAUGCAAACGUGCAUUUUAUUGUGAUGGUAUCAUAACUCACCUCCGAAUGAGGCAUAAUAACUGAGAAGUGUAAUAGUAAAUUUGAAAAAUUUACUAAAGAAAAAAUACAUGUCAUGGUAAACUUGUGUUUACUACUGUAAAUAAGUUCAUAAGUUGAUAUGAACGAGUGUGACAUCUCGAAGAUGUGCAUAUUGAGUAUUAGACAUGUAUUGAAGAAUUAAAAGAUUCUUCAAGAAUUGUUUAUAUCUCUUGUUCUCAUGAUAAGUUGGUUAGACCAACUAAUAUUGGGAUUUGAUCCCUUAAAAUUCGAAAAGUUAAAAGGUGAAAAGGGCUCGUUCACCUAUUAUGUGAUAUGUUUUGAAAAGAUGCAUCAAUAAGAUGAUCAUAUGUAUAUUUAUUGUGAACCUGCAGUUUGACAUUCAUAAAGUUGUUUACUUAAUGAAAUUGAGUUAAGAGCAUUAUUUUCUGACUGUGCAAUCAAGACAAUCCAUCUUGAUGAAAAUGGGUUGGCAUUUAAUGUCUUCAAUAAAUAGUUAAACCAUUGUUAAUGAGAACAAAACUUCAUGUUGUUGGUCUGAAAUAUGAUUAGGACUUAUAUGCAUUAGACCAAUAAAUUAUGAUUAUUUCCUUCCUCUCAAUUGGUUCAAGGUCAGGAACCAACUAUUCUAUCUACUAGUUUUGAUAUGCGGUAUACAAUUAAUAAAUAUACCAUGAUACAUAAAAAUAGAUUCCUCAAAGAAGAUGGAGGAUGUAUGUUAGUUUUCCUAACAUGACGGGGGAGAUUAUAAGCAGCUCUGAAAUAUGCUAGGAAUUAUCAUCAGAUCCACAUUCAAAAGAUAAUUCAAGUCAUAUGUCGAAAACAUUUACUGACUCAAAUUUAAUCUCAUAUCUAAGCUGCAAGUGCUCCUAUUUUGUGUUCAUAAAGGACAAAAUCUACGCAUGUGUGAAGUGUGGUAGACCAAUCGAUUCCAAAUAAAAUAAUCCUCGAAAAGGAUAAGGAGUAAAUGGUCAUAAUAAGAAGACAAUGUGCUCUUGAAAGAGCCUAGGACAUAACACUUCAUGAAACCUUAUGAGAGGUUCAGGUACUUGAAAAUAAUGAAGUAAUGAGAUCUCAAAAUGUUAUGUCACACUGUGAACCAAUACGAAAUGAUAUAUCAUCAAUGAUAUCUUUGAUAUAAUAUUGAUGCAAUAUUGUAAAAGAUUACGAGGAUACGGAUUCUAUGUUUAUUUAAGCAUGCUGACGUAGAAACAUUUAUCAAGUGACCUAAAAUGAUGCAUUUUGGUAAGCGUAAACCUUAUUUGAUUUGCAGUCGAGACACUUGAAGAUGUCACACUUGACAUGUUGGAUAUUGUCACUCAAUAAAAAUCCAUAUGAAAAUCCCUAGAGGAUUCAAAAUGCCGAAAGCAUAUAAAGUUUAUGGGAAACUUUUUAUUAUCCUAAUAAGAGAUAAUUUGAUGAUCUGAGUAUCAGUGGAACUCUUGGAGAGUUUUCAAGGUAAUAGAAAUAUUUGCUCAAAUGAGAAAUAUGGAAAAUUGAAUACGGAUCCAUUCCGACCUCAAGAAAAGAAUGAGGAACUCCUUGGUUAUGAAGUGUCAUAUCUUAGUGCAAUUGAUGCACUAAUGUAUAUUGCAAAUACUGCAAGACUUGAUAUAACCCUUUUCAAUUAAUUUGUUAGCAAGUUUGCAGUCUUGAUCUUAUUGGUCAUGUUGAUGUUCGGUACUUAUCUGACCUAUAUAAAGUUUGGUCUCAAAUAGGCUAUGUGUUCAUAUGUGGUGGUACAACAAUGUCUUGGAGAUAUACAAAACAGUUUAUCGUAGCCACUUCAUCGAACCAUGCUGAGAUAAUAGUUAUUCAUGAAGCAAGUCGAGAAUGUGUAUGGUUGAGGCAUGAUAUAUCUUUUUUUCCUUCACUAUUUUUUUUUCCUUCACUAAAUUUUUUUUUCCACUGAAUUUUUUCUAAUAAGGUUUUAACGAGGCACAUUAUCUAUCAAUUAAACAUUCAAGGGGAGUAUUAUAAAUGUAUUUACAUUAUAGAAUAUCUAUCAAGAAUAUAGAUAAGAUUUAUCAAGAUCUAAAUGAUAUCUAUCAGGAUUUGAAUUAUCUAUCUUUUAAUGAGAUUUGAAUUAUCUGUCUUUUAGUGAGAAACUAGGAGUAAAUUUCUCCUAUAAAUAGAGGGGUUUUAUUCUCUCAUUCUCAAGAGAAAUAAAGAUGUCUCCUAUCUUUUCUCUAUAUGUAUCUACUCUUCUUCUUUAUUCUUUGUUAUUUCAUAAUACGUUAUUAGCAUUCUUUGUUAUUUCACAACUUUUAUUGUUUCCUUAACAAUGGAAAUUUGGAGCCAUUAAUUCUGAUGAUUUCUAAUAAGGAAAAGUUUUAUCAUAAAUAUAUUUUAAUUUUUAACUCUUAAAUAUUAAAAAAAAUAGUGAAAAAAUAAUUUUAUUUAAAACAAAGACUUUUAAUGGAGGAUAAAAAGUUCAAACAAUAUUUAUUAGGUCGUUCACACUUUUAAUAUAUUACUAUUAUUAUUAUUAUUAUUAUUAUUAUUAUUUGCCUGAUUACUAAGUAUUUUCUACCCUUCUACUUCAUAAAUAAUAAAUUUAUAGGUUUACAAUAUUAAUUAAAAUGCAAAAAGAAAAUCACAAAUAAUUAAAAAGAUGAAUGAAUUUAGAUAUGAUGUAAAACCCUACUACCACAUUGACCCGACCCGUUUUUCCUACCACGGGAUCGCUUAAACCCCUACCGCCAACCCAUUCUUUCUCUCUUUCAGCUUACUUUGAAGCUAAACUGUAGGCACAUUAACGUCCAUUUGUAAAAAUAUUUUAGCUUUUUACGCUGAAUAUUGGCAGCUGCAGCACAACAAUGUAAGAAUUGUUGUUUUUUUUUCUUUGUACUAAAUUUGAAUUUGAUGAUUUCCCAGAAUUAAGUUUUUUUGAGUGUCUGAUUGAUUUGUAAAUGCAAUGAAUUGAGUUUUCUUGUUCUGGUUUGUAAGGAUUAAUGUUUGGUUGGUUUAUUUAUUCAAUUUGAAUAAUACCCAGAAUGGAGUUUUGUGUAUCUAGUUUUUUUGGAAUGCGAAAAUUUUAGUUUUUUUCUUGGUGGAUUGUAGGAAUUAUUGAUUAUUGUGGUUUAAGUUUGAAUUUUUAUUACACCCAGAACUGAGUUUUGAGUUUCUGGUUGAUUUGUGAAUGCAAAGUCUUGAAUUUUCCUGUUCAGGUUGUAAGGAUUAAUGUUUGUUUUGGUUUUAUUUAUUUAUUUAUUUAUUUAUUCAAUUUGAGUAAUACCCAGAAUGGAGUUUUGUGUAUCUCGUUGUUUUGGAAUGCAAAAAUUUGAGUUUUUUCUUGGUGGGGUUGUAGGAAUUAUUGAUUAUCGUGGUUUAAGUUUGAAUUUAAAGGAUACUCAGAACUGAUUUUUGAGUUUCUGUUUGAUUUUGAUUGCAAAGAUUUUUUUUCUUUUUUUCUUUUUGGUGUUCUUGGAUAGUGUUAAAUGUUUAGUGUGUAUUUUUGUAUUGAAGGUCUCGUCUCUGUGUGAAGAAUUUGCCAAAGUAUGUAGCCGAGGACCGUCUCAGAGAAUUCUUCUCUCAGAAAGGGGAAGUCACCGACGCCAAGCUCAUGCGUACUUCGUUAAGUUUCUCUUCUCCUCUCUGCUCUACCUUUUUUUUUUUUUUUUUUAAAUAGUAAUGUGAGCUGUAGACAAACUCUGUGCCUGAGUCCAUAGUUUGUUGUACUGAUACGGGUCAAAAUGGAGGGAGCCAGCUAGAAAGCAUUCAUACAGUUAACCACAAUUAGUAAAGAACUUGUUGUUAAUGACUAAUGUACAGUAGCAUUUCAGUUUUUCAGUUUUUCAUCGGUGGUUUCAGCCAAUAAUUGAUUUUUUGACUGGUAUUCACGAAUUGCUAUUUGAUACUGUAGAGAUUUUUGGGUAUGUUCAUGAAUUUGAAAUUCAUUUGACAUCGACUGAUUGCCACUUUAAGCAGAGAUGGAAAGAGCAGGCAGUUUGGAUUUGUAGGAUUUCGAACGGAGCAAGAGGCUGAGGAAGCUAUCAAGUAUUUUGACAAGUCUUUCAUGGAUAAUAGUCGUAUUAUUUGUGAGGUAUGUUUUUUCUGCUUCAGUUACUAUGCUGUUCUGCUUGGGUGGUAUACCUAUUUAGCAGAAGACGAAAAAGCAUAUCUCUGUUCCAUAUUCCAUUAUUUUGAAAUUAGUCGAUAUAUACAUUUCAAAUUACUCCACCUGUCCUAUUUUAUGUGACAUACUUUCCUUUUUGGUUGUCCAAAAAAAAUGACAUCUUUGUAAUAAUUAGAAAUACUUUGACUUUAAUUUUUUAUUUUACUCUAUUAUAGCCUCAAAACUGGCAUGGUUUUUGUUAGACCACGAGCUCCAAAAAGAUUUCUUUCUUAAACUCCGUGUCAAGUCAAGCACCGCCAAAAUAGCUGGGACACAUAGUAUAAAAGAUGAUGCCUUUAUAAUUUUUCCAAGUAGCUAGUGAAAGUAUCCUUAUAUAAGUCCUGUUAACUUUAUUGCUUUAUUCUAAUUUACAUUGUGAAUUACUUGAAUCUUUAUUUUCAUGGGUUGUGGAUUAUUAUUUUUCUAGAGAGUAGCUAUAUAUUGGUGAUGUGCUUGAAUGAUAUGUGCGGGGGUGAGAGGUUGACUGGGGAUAGUUUCAGGAGAGGUAGAGGUAGGCUGAAGAAGUAUUAGCGGAGGUGAUUAGAGAAGAUAUGACACAGUUAAAGCUUACCGAGGAUCCGACCUUAGGUAGGAGGUUGUGGAGGAACACAACUUAGGGUAGAAGGCUAGAUAGAAGUAGAGCAUUGUCUCGCUUGUCCUCACAUAUGGUAGUCGUCGUAUUUCUCCGGUAGUUUCUUGUCCUUCAAUUUCUGUUACCAGCUACUGUCUCUUGUACUAUAAUUACCACAGUAUUUUAUUGUAGUAGCUAUUCCUUUUUCAAAAUGCUUUGCCAUGAUUUCUUCACUUUUCAUUAAUUUUUUCGAUUUGCUUUCAUAUGCUUUUUCUUGAGCCGAGGGUCUAUUGGAAACUCUCUACCUCCCAAAGUAGGGGUAAGGUCUGCAUGCACUCUAUCUUCCCUAGACCCCACUUGUGGGAUUACACUGGUUAUAUUGUUGUUUUGUUCUUGUGCUUGAAUGACACAUAAAUUCAUUUUCAUAUAGCCAGAUUGCAAGGAAAAUUGGGGAUCCAAAUAUCCCUCGUCCAUGGAGCAGGCACACUUUGAAGAAACAAGAGAAAUUGACAAAUGAGGAUGAGAAUGCAAAAGUAAACAAAAGUUCCAAGUCUGCAGGUUUAAAAGGGGACAAAAAGAAUAGUAAACAGGAGAGUAAGGAUGAGGAUCCUCAGCUUCAAGAGUUCCUUGAAGUUAUGCAGCCUCGGAGUAAGUCAAAGUUGUGGGCAAAUGAUACACUAGCAGCUCCAUCUCUUGCUCAAAGUAAAAAGGAUGGCCAUAAGCAAUCCCAGGCAAAAGAGACUAACCGGGAAAAAUUGGCUACUGAUAACUCUGAGUUAGAUGAGGUUAUUAAAAAAGAGGAAUCUCUGUCAGUUAAUGAAAAUUCUGAGAAACCUGACAGCUUCCAUAAUGAUGAAGUUAUGACCGAUACAGAUUAUUUCAAAAGUAGAGUGAGGAAAGAUUGGUCAGACUCAAAAAGUAGUGAAGACGAUGGUAGUGAUAAUGAAAGUGACACUGAAAGUGGCAAGAGCAAUGAAGAUGCAAAUACUGGUAAUAUCCUCAAACCUGAUGAUACAGAGGAAGUUUUGACUGAUGGGUUCACCAGAUCUAACAAUAAAUCGCUUGAGCCUGCUGACCCUUCAUCAAGUGUUAUGGAUGAAAAAGAAGAAGAUCUGGAGAGUGGACGAUUAUUUGUUCGUAAUCUUCCUUACACCACGACGUAAUACAUCUUUGUUCUUCUUUUUUCCUUUAUCCUUUUUUUUUCUGGGUGAUUUAGUUAACUCGAUAUGUUGACUUCAACAAACCUAAUGUAUGUUCUUGCCAAACAAAUGGUUUUAUGACUCAGGGAAGAGGAGCUGGAAGAACAUUUUAGAGCAUUUGGCAAUGUCUCACAGGUUCAUAUUGUUGUUGACAAAGAUACAAAGCGGUCCAAAGGAUUUGCAUAUGUUCUCUAUGCAUUACCAGAAUCUGCUGCUAGGUACCUGUCAAUCAGCAUCCAAAUUCUAAGCUACUGCACUUUUUACCUGCAAGAAGCACACUGAUAUCCGUGUUAUAAAUUCUGAGUCCCUUGUAUACGUAUGUAUGUGUCUAUUUUUCAUGUUCCAGUGCUUCCUUGCAUUGCUUUUUGAUUGUUUCUUCCAGGGCAUUAGCGGAGCUGGACAGUUCAAUUUUUCAAGGACGAUUACUUCAUGUCAUGCCAGCUAAGCAGAAAAUUUCUCCAGAGAAGAUAGAGUAAGUGUUGUUUUACCACGCUUUUCAAUGUUCAUAUCCAUUAGAUUGUUUGCUUAUGCAUAUAUGUCGAGAGAAGCUCUCCUUUUUCUUUUUAAUAAUGUGGGAUCUACCUUGCUAUUAUAAGAUUGGUUCAUUUAUUACUCUGUAGGACAGUUGAUAAUACCAAGCAAUUUUCAAAAACAUUUAAGCAGCAGAGACUACAGGAAAAGAAGGCAUCUGAAGCUAGUGGAAAUACACAAUCUUGGAAUACUCUUUUCAUGCGGCCAGACACCGUAUGUACACUAUCGAAUGUUAUAAUUUAGAAUAUUUUUUCUUACUAUUAUGAGGGUUGGUUCUGUCAUUUUAGAAUUUUAAUCUAUGUUUUGCUAAGACACACAUUCUUAUCCACAUUCUGCGCCACAUAAAAUAAUACAGAAAUUUAUGCAUAAACUCUACAUGGAUUAUUUAUGAGGAAAACGAUAACUAACAUCUGAACAUUGUACAAUUUAAUAUGGAUUUUUAUGUGAAGCUUAAAUUUCCUCAAUCCCAACCAAACAUGGUACAAAUUAACUUUGGGAUUUUUUCUUCCGGGGGGUGGGGGUGGGGGUGGCUUUGUACAUCAACUUUUACAGCCCCUUGAUGCUUGCUGUAAUAGACUGGGUUUAUCUUUUUUUACAUUUGAUCUGAUUUGAGUUAUUUUUGUUCCUAUAUUAUGCUUCUUGUAAGAUGAUUUGGUUGUUCAAAUCUUUGUAGCUAUCCUAACUUGUAUAAUCAGUUUUUGAAAUGCUUCAGGAUCUUUAAUUACUGCCCGUUUGGGUUGAGUAUGCAUUCUACUGUGUCAGCGUUUGGACUUGUUCUUGAAAGUAAAAAUGAGCUCCUUCUGUUCUUUGAAAUUUUUUAGGUUGUCGAGAAUAUUGCAAGAAAAUUUGGUGUUAGUAAAAGUGUUCUUCUUGAUAGAGAAGCUGAUGAUCUUGCCGUACGUAUAGCAUUGGGUGAGACUCAAGUGAUAGCAGAGACGAAAAAGGCUCUUGCAAAAGCUGGGGUUAAUAUUGCUUCACUGGAAGACUACGCUGCUGGAAAAACUGAUGGAGUGAAACGAAGCAAUCACGUUAUUCUAGUUAAGAACUUGCCCUAUGGUUCGUCAGAAGGUGAACUUGCGAAUAUGUUUGGGAAGUUCGGGAGUCUGGAUAAGAUUAUUCUUCCUCCCACCCAAACCUUAGCUUUGGUUUGUGCUUUUAUCUUUGAAGCCUUUGGUUUGAAAUGACUAUUCUUGUAACUAUAAUUGUUCUUUAUGUGCUUUGUGACUUUUCCGUACAAUAGGGUGUUCUGAUUUGAUACUAAUAGACCAAGUUUCUGUUUGUGUAAAUAGACAUGAAUUAGUUGGAAAUAACAAGAUUGUUUGCUGCUUCUGUGAUUAUUACAAUCAGGUUGUCUUCCUAGAACCGGCAGAAGCACGCACAGCUUUUCGGGGCCUAGCAUACAAACGUUACAAGUAAGUGUAUAUAUCCGUUUCUUGCUUUUGAUACAGCGGUGAUUUUUGUAGUUGAACAAGUAGCUGUAUAUGUAAAGACAAUUUCAUGUCAUGACUGAUAACUAAGCAAGAUUGGAAUAGCUUUAGAAUUGGGAUAACACAUAAAUACUCUCCUCAACUUAUUGUGAAUAUUCAUCUAUACUUUUUAACUUUGCUAGUGCCCUAUUACACCCAACCCCCAAGGGGCCUUUUUGAAGUUGAGUAACUACCAGAUUUGUGUUGGGUGUUGAAAUAACACCACUUACUCCAUAUACUUUGAAGUUGAGUAACUUUGCUAGUGCACUCACCACUUAAUUUUUGUUCACCUUUUUUUUCCAUAUACUUUGGUUAUUUCUUCCUCCACCUUUGUUCAAAUGCAUUAAGCGGACUCUCCCCCAAUCUAAACUUUGCGCCUUCCUCUCACUCCUACUCCAAUAAUUCCUUGUCAAUGAUUAGUGAUGUCGCCCUGUAUUCUCGAAACAAGGUGCAUUUUAUGUUACCUCGGAUCCUGUUAGUGAGAGAAGACUCAAAAUUAGAGGGAAGCCAUGGAAAGAGAAGGGAAUUCCAUUUUUUUUUACUUUGCUUUAGAGAAUUGAGAAACCUUCCAAUUUUUUAUUUUGCAAGAUUGAGGUUUCUCCUAGCUUGCUUUGUUCUUUCUAGCACAUAUCAGUUUUGCUGCAUCUCAUAUGCAAUAUAUUUUGAUUCAGUCUUGAAAGUUUGGAAUUAUGAAGUAAAUUUUGUCCCUUUGUCCUGAUGCAGAGACACUCCCCUUUAUUUGGAGUGGGCUCCUGGGAAUAUUCUUGAUCAAACGAGUGAUUCCAAAAAUGAUUUUAUUGUUGGUGAAGAUGAUGUAAAGAGAGUGCUCCUGGAGCAACAAGUGGAAGGAAUAGCAGAUCCAGAUGUUGAUCCUGAUAGAGUGGAGGUAUAUAAACUGUAAAACCCAUGUUUCCCAUCUUUAUAUAGAAUGUACUUUGGUGCUAAGUCCCUACUGUUGUAUGAGUCUACUUGCGAGCUGUUUAUAUCUACCUGUAUUGUAUAGACUAAUACCUAGCUAAGUUUGUCCUCGUCAAUCUUUGCUUGUGGAUUAUUUUUCUGUUCAUCUCCAUUUGCCAGCAACCGCAAAUGAAGCUUUGUUGAGGUUGGCACUUCCAUUUGAUCAAUAGUCUAUUAUUAUAUGCACUUCUGUCGCCCUGACAUGUGUCCCACCAUAUGACACAAAGUUUCACUUUAUGAAUGCCAUUUUAGGAGUCUGUCAUGUUGGUACAUUUACUUUAGGUUCAAUGUUUGUUAGGUACAUUUACUUUAGGUUCAAUGUUUGUUAGGAGUCUUUUAGUUUCGAUACAGAUGCUAGUAGAAAAUGUAAAGAAUCUCUAGUGCUAGAGAAACCAGAUCAAAAUCGUAGAGAGACGAGCUUGAGUGGAGUGGCAUCUAGCAUGUGUUGAGGACUCAUACAACUGACCCAACUAGCAUGAGGUUGAGGCGUACUUUUUGUUUUUGUCGAACACAAAAAUGUGGAAGAUAUUACAAAUUUAAGUGGUUUUGUUUUUGUUGAACACAAAAUGUGGAAGAUAUUACACAAAAUGAGGAGUGGCAUCUAGCAUGUGUUGAGGACUCAUACAACUGACCCAACUAGCAUGAGAUUGAGGCGUACUUUUUGUUUUUGUCGAACACAAAAAUGUGGAAGAUAUUACAAAUUUAAGUGGUUUUGCUUUUAUUGAACACAGAAUGUGGAAGAUAUUACAAAUUCUUAAACGAACUCUUACAUUUGAUUGAUACUGGUAACGUACUGGUAUAUAUAAAGUCACAUUUUCAGAGAAAUGAAGAAACCCGGCUAUGCAAAAAUCAAAUUUACAGACAGCCUAUCAAAUCGAUUAGAGAAUCUGUUUCCUCUAGUAGUAUGUAAGACUUUUUUGAGAAUUUCUACUAGUAUGUAAGACUCAAACUUAAGUCUACAUAUUUAUUCAAGUUUUUAGUUUGCUGGAAAUUAACUGUGGCCUGCAUAUGAUAGGUCCCCAGAAAAUCAGAAAUAAAUAAUUCUCAAAUAUGAACUGUACUCUUGUUGUUGUUGUUGUUGUUGUUGAACUGUACUCUUGGUAGCAGCAGACUAUUGAAUACACAUGGUCACAUGACAUGCUGGUUCAGCUGCUCCACUAUUGCCAAAAAAUCAUGCUACCUGUACCAAAAACCAAAAGAAUUCAGUUAUUGGAAAUAAGUAUAUAGUGAAGAACAUUGCAGUUAUAGAAAUUCCUUGUUACUUCUUUGUUUGUUCUUAUAACUGCCUUGAUUUCUCAGGUUUGUUUCUUGUUUCAUUAACCAAUUGAUAUUCUUGUUGUCACCUUUCCAGUCACGAUCACUGUAUGUCAAGAACCUAAAUUUCAAGACAUCAGAUGAGAGUUUAAAGAAACAUUUCACUGAUCACAUAAAGGAUGGGCGAAUAUUAAGUGUGAGGGUAAGUUCUUGUGGCUCUUUUUUAUGCUGAGACGCCAAGUAUUUAGCAUAGUAUUUCCUUUGUGCUACAUGAAAAAAUAACUAGUCUUCCUCCAACACCUGUUAAUAUUAUUCUGUGAAGGUGAAAAAGCAUGUAAAGAAUGGAAAAACUGUCUCGAUGGGUUUUGGAUUCAUUGAGUUUGAUUCUGCUGAUACAGCAAUCAAUGUUUGUAAGGAUUUGCAGGUAAUCAGUCUGAUUUUUGUUUUAACAUUUUGUCCAUACAUUCGGGCUCCUACAAAUAGCGUUUCAUCUUCCCCUCUUCUUGUCAUUCAGGGAACUGUUUUGGAUGGGCAUGCACUUAUAAUGCAACUUUGCCACACUAAGAAGGAUGAUCAACUACCAAAGAAAGCUGAGAAUGAUAAGAGUUCGACUAAGUUGCUUGUUAGGAAUGUUGCUUUUGAGGCAACUGAAAAGGAUCUCAGGCAACUAUUCAGUCCAUUUGGGCAGGUACUUCCUCUGAAGUGUUGUUAAUGUAGGGUGAUACUAAGUAGUAGAAAAUAAUACUAGGUUUUCCUGUGUUGGGAAGUGGCAAAGCUAGAAGUUAAUUGAGGAUAAGUAUGUCUGUGGGCACGAGGAUGCAUUAUAUCCUGUGCAUUUCCAUUGAGUCCAUAUGAGAGACAUUUAUCCAUAUGUAAGUGGGCAUGUAGAAUUCUCUCCGAUUUGUAAUGCUUUUGUUCAAAAUUCCAGGUCUAGUGGAAUGUGUCAUGAAAUUUAUUAGUGUGAAAAAUGUUGAUAUAGACAAAAUGAUGCGUGGUAAUUGGCAGAUGAUCUAGCCACUAGAAGCUAGGGCUAGAAAAAAAAAAAAACAUUAUGAUGGUUACUUGAAAGUCUGACAUAUAUGUUAUUUUUGACCUGCAUUCAUCAUGUUUCACAUAGCGACUUAUUUCAAUGUCCUUUCCGUUGACCUCAAAAUUAAAUUCAUCCUACAGAUUAAGAGUUUAAGGCUGCCAAUGAGGUUUGGGAACCAUAGAGGAUUUGCAUUUGUAGAGUUCGUCACUAAACAAGAGGCAAAGAAUGCCAUGGAAGCUCUAUCCAAUUCUCACUUGUAUGGGCGCCAUUUGGUAUGUGAUCUUGCAAUUCUCAUAGUAUAUAUCUACUACCUAAAUAUCACCAAGUAAUAUGUUGUGGUGCAUGUUACAUCUCAGGUUCUUGAGAGAGCCAAGGAAGGUGAGAGCUUAGAGGAAUUACGCGCUCGCACAGCUGCUCAGUUUAGUACUGAGCAAAAUGGGUUUCAAACUACUAAAUUAUCAAAGAAGAGAAAACAAAUGGCUAUAUUGGAUGAAGGGAGUUUUAAAUUCGAGCGAAUUGCUGAUUAAAUACUUCACAACUCCCUUCAAAUCCCCAAUUCACUUGUCCUGUAUAGGUUAAAGCUACUAAUUCUGCAGUAUUUAUAGCCCAAUAGUACUAAGAUGAGAGCUUGUUUAAUCAAUUUUGUUCAUUAAUGUAAUGUCUUGACAUCCUCUUCGGUUUGUAUUGUAGAUCAUGAAAAGUUUGCUGUCAGUUUGUGACAAAAAAAUAUCAAAGUAGUAGGUAAACAAAGUUUGAUCCUUUGGGAUGUUUCUUAUGGAUUACUUUAAUAAUGAAGAUAGCAUUCUUGUCACAGGGGGGUAAUGUAGAAAUGCUAUUUCUUAUCCACCAUAACCAAAAGAAAAAACUUAAAUCAUCUCGAGUUUAGAAGGUGAAUUUCUUGGUUAGAAAAAGAAGGGCAACAAAGGGUCGAUUUAAAAGGAAAAAAAAAAAACAGAGUGGCCAGUGUGAAAACAUGGACAAUUUUUUAAUUUGAGUCAAAAAAAUUUCCUGCAUUAUUAGAAUGACAAAGAAAAUAAGAAAAAAAAGUGGAAGGAAAUGAAGGAGGACGGCAAACAGGCGUUGACGUCCUAGUUUUAAAUACUUACAUAAAUUUUAAGUGAUAUAUCUCAAAGAAUGUGAUGUAUUCUUGUUGAAUUUUUUAGAAUUUUAAAAGACGUUGGAAUAGGAAGUAAUUAACAUCAAAAGAAUUGAGAUUUGCGUAACUUUUACAUUAUUUAUUCUGCUCUAGAAAAGUGCAAGGAAAUGAAGGAAAAUUUAGCGUCUUUAGAAAAUUCUCCAUCUUUAGCAAAAUAAGAACAAAAAUUUGCGUACAUUUUAUCUUUUCUAAAUUUCAUCUAUACGUGUUGACAGUUUGAUAACAUUUUCUUUUCUUGUUAAAAUAGUUCCUUCUUUUGGUCGUGACAUGCGCAAUUGGAAAAGAAAAAAGAAUCAAGUAAAUUGGUAAUAACGACAUUGCAGAAAUUUACCUCAAAAAAAAAAAAAAUUAUUGUCCCCUUUAAACUAUAUAUCAUCGAUCACUAUCAUUAUUCAUCAUUAUAUAAUCACCAAUCAGCACUAUAUAUUAUAAACUAUCGUCAUCAUUCACCAUCACUAUAAGCUAUUACUAUCAUCCACCACAACUAUCAGUCAUUGUGACAAGGAGUAACCAUCAAUCACUACUCUCACAACUAUCAUCACCAAUAGCUACACCCUUAACACCACUAUUUGCCAAUAUAUCUUCAAUCGACACCCACAAUCACUAUCGCUAGCCAUCACUAUCAUCAACAGUCAUAUAAUGUUUAUAGUAAAUUAAUUUAAUUUUUUUUAUUAAAUUUUACUUUAUAAUAGAAGCGGCAAUCUUGACCAUUUUAGAGUCGUCCUGGCUGCUUCAGCUGCUUCAAGCGUAAUUUUACUAUAUCACCCCUAAUUAAUUAUUAUAAAUUAUUUCAUUUAAGUAUUAUAAUAUUAAUAAUAUUUAAUAAAAGAAUAGUUUUCAAAAUGACUACUAAAUUCCUCAAAGUUCCAUUUAUUAUUAUUCGAGAAUUUUUUUUAGCUGUUUCAAUCGUAAUUUUAAUGUAUCACCUCUAAUUAAUUAUUAUAAGCCAUUUACGUAUUAAAAAUUAAUAAUAUUUAAUAUAAAAAUAAAACAAACAUUUUUUACAUGUCUGCUUCAGUUGGUUCGACAUAAUUUUACUAUAUCACCUCUAAUUACUCAUUAUGAGUCAUCUAAGUAUUAAAAAAUAAUGUUAAAAAAUUAUUAUAAAAUCAUCUAAGUUUUAAAAAACUAAUAAUAUAAAAAAAUAUUAAUCUGCCAAAUAUUUUUCAAAAAUAGGUAAGAAAUACUAUACAUCACAAUAAUUAGCAACUAGAAAGUUUAGAGUCAAUUUACUUUCUUUGGCACAUCUUCAUUGGUCCUUUCCUUUGCCUUCAUUUUUUCAUCUAUUUUAAUUUGUUAUAUAUUUUUUAAAAAAAAACUUGUAAAUCACAAUAAUUAAUAAAUUAAAAAUUAAAAACAUAUAAAUAUUUGACUGACUUUCAAAAUUAUAUCAUUGCUACUUAAAUUGGAAUAGAAGAAAAAAUACUAUAGAUCACAGUAAUUAAAAACUUAAAUUAUUUAUAAAAUAUAAUUGACUAUCAAUAGUACAAAAUUUUAAACAAGGAGUGUAACAUAUAUUAUUUAAAAUUUACAUAAAACUUAUUAUAAAUUACAAUAUUUAACAAAUUAAAAUAUCUAAAAAAAAUUAUUAUAUAUUUUAAAAAAUACAUAAAAGUGCUAUAGAUCAUAAUAAUUAACAAAUUUAAGACAUAUAAAAUAUUUGAUUGACUUUUGUUCAAUUAUAAAAAAAUAAGCACUUUGAUGAAGAUUUAUAGUAUCAUUCAAGUAAAUACAGAUUAAGAUCGUAGAAACAUGAGCUAGUGAUAUAGCUACACCUAAUUCCAGACCGGUUAAUGCAAGAACUAUAAAUAAAGGACCAAGAUCCCCUAUGAAAUAUAAUUGAAUAUCAACGCCACAAAAGUUAGGACAAGGAGAGUAACAUGUAUUUUUUGAAAAUCAUAUAAAAAACAUUACAAAUUACAAUUGUUGACAAUUUAAAGUAUUUUUUUAAUUUUUUUUUAUAUAUUUUUAAAAAAUACUCAAAAAGAUACUACAAAUCAUAAUAAUUAAUAAUUUUAAAAAUUGUAAGGAUAUAAAUAUUUGGUUGACUAUAGAAAUUAUAUCAGUGCUACUUAAUUUGAAAUUAAAAAAGAUUAUAAAUCUCAAUAAUUUUAAAAGUUAAAUUAUUUUUAAAGUAUAAUUGGCUAUCGAUGCUACAAAAGUUUGAAUAAGGAGAGUAACAUGUAUUAUUUAAAAAUUACAUAAAAAAAUAUUAUAAAUUACGAUAAUUAACAAUUUAGAAUAUUCAAAGCAUACUAAAGAUAUGAUUGAUUAUCUAUAUUUUAUUUAUGUCACAUAAAUUGAGACUAAAAAAUAAUAUAUAUUGGGCCCGUGCCAACCUAUUUAAAUAAAUUUAUAUAUUCAAAUAUUGAAAAAUAAAUAACUUUAAUUAUUUAAUAUUCAUAUCUUAAUUACUUAGUAUUCUGGUAAAAUAUGUGUUACCACCAAACAAAUCUCAUCAUUUUGUGACUUAAUCUAUAAUAUAUUAAAAGUGUGAAGCCCGUUAAAAAGUGAUUUGAAUUUUUUAUCCUUCAUUAAAACACUAUACAAUAGACAAAAUCAUCUUUUCACUAUUUUCCUUAAUUUAUUAUUUAAUUAAAUUUUUAUUUUUUAAAGUCAAGAAAUCCUAAAUUAUACGGUAAAAGAAAAAUAUAUAGAGAAUUAAUAUUGGUAAAUUUUUUAUUUCCUUCUAUAUGUAAAAAAAGAGUCUUGAAAUAUUUGGUAGAAAAAAGAUCCUAAAAUAUAUAAUAAAGAGAAUAAGAAAAGAUUUAAUAGUAGAAAACUUUAAGUAAAAAAGAAAAAUAAAAUCUCACCUAAAGUUUUAGAAAAACCAUUAUACGUUUUCUUUUAAUGUUAUGAUUUUAAUUCCUUUAAGUAAAAAGGAAAAAUAAAAUGUCAACUAAAGUUUUAAAAAAACUAUUGUACGUUUUCUUUUAACGUUAUUAUUUUAAUUUCAAACUAUAUAUAUAUAUAUAUAUAUUUCUUUUCUAUAUAAUAGAAACACUAAUUUUGACCAAUGCUUCAUCAAUUGCUAUACUACCCCAAAUUAUUUCAGAAUUUACUAUAUUACUCCUAAUUAAUUAUUAUAAUUCAUUUAAAUAUUAGAAUUAAUAAUAUUUUUUUAUUAUAUUAUCCCUAAUUAAUUAUUGUAAGUCAUUUAUAUAUUAUAAUUAAUGAUAUUUAAUUAAAAAAUAGACAUUUAUGACUUUUGUUUCAGCUGCUUUAACUGUGAUUUUACUUUAUCAUCCCCAAUUAAUUAUUAUAAGUCAUUUAUGUAUUAAAAAAUUAAUAAUAUUUAAUUAAAAAAUUAGAUGACAUGUCUACCUAUAUUACCUCUAAUUGCCCCGUAAUUUAUUAUAUUACCCCUAAUUAAUUAUUAUAAGAAAUUUAUAUAUUAGAAUUAAUUAAUUAUUAUAAGUCAUUGAUAUAUUAAAAUUAAUAAUAUUUAAUUAAAAAAAUAUUUAUAACGUUUGUUUCAGCUCCUUUAAUCGUGAUUUUACUAUAUCAUUCUUAAUUAAUUAUUAUAUGUCAUUUAUGUAUUUAAAAAUUAAUAAUAUUUAAUUAAAAAAUAGAAGUUUAUGAUGUUUGUUUCAACAUCUUUAACCGUAAUUUUACUGUAUCAUCCCUAAUUAAUUAUUAUAAGUCAUUGAUAUAUUAAAAUUAAUAAUAUUUAAUUAAAAAAUAGAAGUUUAUGAUGUUUGUUUCAACAUCUUUAACCGUAAUUUUACUGUAUCAUCCCUAAUUAAUUAUUAUAAGUCAUUGAUAUAUUAAAAUUAAUAAUAUUUAAUUAAAAAAUAGAAGUUUAUGAUGUUUGUUUCAACAUCUUUAACCGUAAUUUUACUGUAUCAUCCCUAAUUAAUUAUUAUAAGUCAUUGAUAUAUUAAAAUUAAUAAUAUUUAAUUAAAAAAUAGAAGUUUAUGAUGUUUGUUUCAACAUCUUUAACCGUAAUUUUACUGUAUCAUCCCUAAUUAAUUAUUAUAAGUCAUUGAUAUAUUAAAAUUAAUAAUAUUUAAUUAAAAAAUAGAAGUUUAUGAUGUUUGUUUCAACAUCUUUAACCGUAAUUUUACUGUAUCAUCCCUAAUUAAUUAUUAUAAGUCAUUGAUAUAUUAAAAUUAAUAAUAUUUAAUUAAAAAAUAGAAGUUUAUGAUGUUUGUUUCAACAUCUUUAACCGUAAUUUUACUGUAUCAUCCCUAAUUAAUUAUUAUAAGUCAUUGAUAUAUUAAAAUUAAUAAUAUUUAAUUAAAAAAUAGAAGUUUAUGAUGUUUGUUUCAACAUCUUUAACCGUAAUUUUACUGUAUCAUCCCUAAUUAAUUAUUAUAAGUCAUUGAUAUAUUAAAAUUAAUAAUAUUUAAUUAAAAAAUAGAAGUUUAUGAUGUUUGUUUCAACAUCUUUAACCGUAAUUUUACUGUAUCAUCCCUAAUUAAUUAUUAUAAGUCAUUGAUAUAUUAAAAUUAAUAAUAUUUAAUUAAAAAAUAGAAGUUUAUGAUGUUUGUUUCAACAUCUUUAACCGUAAUUUUACUGUAUCAUCCCUAAUUAAUUAUUAUAAGUCAUUGAUAUAUUAAAAUUAAUAAUAUUUAAUUAAAAAAUAGAAGUUUAUGAUGUUUGUUUCAACAUCUUUAACCGUAAUUUUACUGUAUCAUCCCUAAUUAAUUAUUAUAAGUCAUUUAUAUAUUAGAAUUAAUAAUAUUUAAUUAAAAAAUAGAAGUUUAUGAUGUUUGUUUCAACAUCUUUAACCGUAAUUUUACUGUAUCAUCCCUAAUUAAUUAUUAUAAGUUAUUUAUAUAUUAAAAAUUAAUAAUAUUUAAUUAAAAAAAUCAGCUGCUUUGUCAUUUACUAUAUUAACCUAAUUGCUCGGUGAUUUAUUAUAUUACCCCUAAUUAAUUACUAUAAGUCAUUUAUUUAUUAGAAAUUAAUAAUGUUUUUUUUAUUAUAUUACCCCUAAUUAAUUAUUAUAAGUCAUUUAUAUAUUAUAUUUAAUAAUAUUUAAUUAAAAAAUAUAUAUUUAUGACAUUUAUUUCAGCUGCUUUAACCAUGAUUUCACUAUAUCAUCCCUAAUUAAUUAUUCUAAGUUAUUUAUGUAUUAAAAAAUUAAUAAUAUUUAAUUAAAAAAUAGAUGAAAUGUCUGCCUAUAUUAUCCCUAAUUGCUCCGUGAUUUACUAUAUUACCCUAAAUUAAUUAUUAUAAGUCAUUUAAAGUUAUUUAUGUAUUAAAAAAUUAAUAAUAUUUAAUUAAAAAAAUAUAUGACAUGUCUGCCUAUAUUAUCCCUAAUUGCUACGUGAUUUACUAUAUUACCCUAAAAUAAUUAUUAUAAGUCAUUUAUAUAUUAGAAUUAAUAAUAUUUAAUUAAAAAUUGAUAUUUAUGACGUUUGUUUCAGCUGCUUUAACCGUGAUUUUACUAUAUCAUCCCUAACUAAUCAUUAUAAGUCAUUUAUGUAUUAAAAAAUUAAUAAUAUUUAAUUAAAAAAAUAGAUGACAUGUCUGCUGCAGCUGCUUCAACCAUAAUUUUGCUAAAUAUCGCUUAUAAUUAAUUAUUAUGAGUCAUCUAAGUGUAAAAAAUUUAAUCAUAUUUUUUUAAAAAAAAUAGACACAAAAUGAUAAAUUAACUCUUGAUGUAUUAAAUUAAGUUGACCUCCUUCAACCGUGAUUUUACUGUAUCACCCAUAAUUAAUUAUUAUUAGUCAUUUAUGUAUUAAAAUAUUCAUAUUAUUUAAUUAAAACAUUGGUUUCGACAUGGCUGCUUCAAGAGCUGCGCCGUAAUUUUACUAUAUCACCCCUAAUUAAUUAUUAUAAGUCAUUUAUGUAUUAGAAAAUUAAUAGUAUUUAAUUAAAACAAGAAAAAUAUGUGUUUAUGACAUGUUUGUUGCAGCUGUUUCAACCAUAAUUAUCUUUGAGAAGAUGAUCCAAGACUUUGUGUUAAUUGAAGUAUCUUUUGUUCCAGUUUUUAUAUGAAAUAAUCUUAUGAAUAUUAGUUCUACAUCUUUUCUAUAUUUUGUAGCAGGUCUCAAUUUUAUCAUCAAACAAUUAAAAUAACCCGACUACACGACACAUUACACCUUUUUAUCAUGUGGAAAAAAACUAUCUUAUAAAACUUCACUCCUUAGCGAGUACCAUCAAAUAGUUAUUAUUUAAAAAAUUAUCGUUUUAAAUCAAUGUACAUUUAUGUUUGUAUCUCAUCAAUAUUGAAUAUUGGUGCUAAAAGAUGUCUAUAGUGUUGGAUCCGUGCUGACACGGGCCAUGCACCUCUUGUAUAUAUAUAUAUAUAUUAUAUUAUAAUCUAUUUAAAGUGUGAAGGGCGUUAGAAAUGUCGCUUGAACUUUUUACCCUUCAUUAAAAGUCUUUUCUUUAGAUAAAAAUCAUAUUUUGACUAUUUUUUUUAAUUAUUUAAUAGUUAAAAAUCAAUUAAAUAUAUUUAUGAUAAACCUUUAAAACUUUUUAAGAAGAUUUAAAAAGUCUAUAAAUUUACAUCUACAAUAUAUUAAAUCCAUUAACCAUUUGAAAUUUGUGAUGAUAAAAUAUACAUGUGCUUAUAAUAAAAUAUAUAUUUUAAACUUUUUACAAUUCAUUAAAAAAAUUAUCUAAUUUUAAAUAAUCAAAAGUUAAUUGCACGUGCAGCUAAACUAGUAAUUAUACAAAUUUCCAUUGACAAAGUGAGGAGUAUAUUCUUUCAAAUCCUCUAACCAAUUUACAGCGGAGUUGGUAGUCCAAAAUAUUUCAAGAAAACUUGUUUCUCUUGUCUUGUUUCCUUUUAAACCCUUUUGUCCACUCUUUACAUUUCUACUACUCAAUUCAUUUGUUCACCAUAUAUUACCUGCCUUGUCUCCAUCUUUUCUCAACUGGGUAUGCCUUCAAAUUUCACCUAAUUCUGUGCUUUCUUUAGGGUUUCUCAUUGUUUUCAUUAAAUUCAAUCAUUCUUUUCUUUGUGGAUUUACUUUUUUAAGUGUGUUCUUUAUAUGAGAUCCCAAUUCACUUUGUGGGGUUUUUAGUAUUUGAUAAUUUUACUUUACUGUAAGUGAUAUUAUUAUACUUUGUUGCUUUGUUAGAAUUACUAGCAUCAUCUGUUUUCUUUGUGGGUUUUCUUUAAUUCUGCUUAUUGUGUACUCAUUUGGAUCUUCCUUGUUACUGUUUUUUUUGGUGGAACUUAGUGUUUGGAAUUUAGAUUUGUUGUGCCCUUAAAUAAGUGGUGUUUUUAGUUUGAACACACCCUUAACCAAACUACUCAUUCCUAGAAAACAAAGAUUGUUUUUACUAACUUAUCCUUGAUAAAUACUUUGGAAAAGAUAGUACUCUUUAGUAGUUUCUUGCUUAUUUAAAACUCUUUUUAUUUAAAAGAAGUUAAAAAUGAAGGAACAACAUGAAUGUCUUCUUGAUUAUCUAAAGUACUACUUAUUUGGGAAUAAAAUCAAAAGGCUGAAAACCACUUAAUUUAGGAAUGGAGGGAGUAGGCGGACAUUGAUUAUAAAAGUUGGCGUGAAUUUCCAGGUUCAGUUUGUGAUUCUGUUAGUUUUUAGUGCUUUCUUGAUUUACUUUUGCGUUUGUUCUGAAUCUUGAUAGAGGCAAUGUCGCAAGGCUAUGCUAUUGAGCUCUACUUUGAUCCUGCACUGGAAAACCAGGUCCUGAAGGCCUGGAAUGUAUUGGCUCGGCGCCAGAUUAGCACUCAGCUUAUUGAGAUUGAGUCUAGACCUCACAUUACCCUCUUCUCGAGUCCCAAUUUUGAUCCAUCAAAGCUUGAGAACAUUGUAAAGAAUUUUUCGUCCAAGCAAGAAUCUUUGCCUCUGUCCUUUGGUUCAAUUGGAAGCCUCCCAAGUGAUGACAAUGUUCUAUUUCUUGCCCCAACACCAACUUUGUCUCUACUUCAGUUCCACUCACAGCUGUUUGAUGCUAUGAAAAAGGAGGGCAUUGAGAUUGCAGAUGAGCAUCGUCCUGAUACGUGGAUUCCUUAUUGCCCGGUAGCUGAAGAGGUGCCUAAAACUCGUAUGGGGGAGGCAUUCACUGUUUUGAGGGAUCUGAAAUUACCUGUUGCUGGAUAUGCAAUGGAAAUUGCACUUGUCGAGUAUCCUCCAGUUCGUGAAGCAUUUUCUUUUGUGCUUGGUAAUACAGUUGAACCUUGAGGUUUCAGACAUGUAAUUGUGUUGAUUUUAGUUUAGGCUUUUACCUUUCAUAUCCUAUAUAGUUGCUCUUGUAGAACCUGAUAUAGAUGGUUAAGAGUGUUAUUAUCGUUGCUAAAUGGUCAUCUGCUUUGAUGAAAUAUUAAGUCAUUUCUGAUUCUUUCCUAUUGUUCGUACUUGCAUUGAGAUGUUGAUCUCUUAUGUCAGUGUUGGUGAUAAUAACAUGCUUAUUUUUUUUUCUUAUCUAUGGGAAGUCUCUGGUCGACCUCUAUUAGCAUAGAAAUUUUAUUUGCUUCUGUGUUCUAUCUUAUAAAUCAUGAACAUUGUUUGGCUUACGUGUUCUACUUUGUAAGUCUUGAAUGUGGUUCCUUUCAUUCAAAUGUAAUAUGUUUUAGUUCUUGUUAAGUUUAGCAAGUUCGAAUCAUGUGAGGUAAAUUUGCUUUUGUUAAAUAAUGUUGAGUAUAAAACUUGCUUGCGUUUAAAAAUGUUCACUUAUACAUUACUGCAGUACACCUUCUAAUUUGCAAGUCUCAAAGAUCAUGUGCUUUCUUUAGAUUGUAAUAUAUCCUGGUGCUUGUUGAAUUUAAUAUGAUUGAAUCAUGUGAGGGGAGUACAGAAGCUACCAGUUUUGUAUGGUUGGUAAAUCAAAUAGUAUUUGGAGAAAACAUGAGGCAGAGUUGAUUGAUGUACUAGCUGAAUAAACUGGAUAAAAGACAAGAACAGUCCAUUAUGUUUGACGUUGGUUUUGACUAACCCUUUUUUUUUUUUUUUUUUUUUUUUUUUUUUUUUUUUUUUUUUUUUUUUUUUUUUUUUUUUUUUUUUUUUUUUUUUUUUUUUUUUUUUUUUUUUUUUUUUUUUUUUUUUUUUUUUUUUUUUUUUUUUUUUUUUUUUUUUUUUUUUUUUUUUUUUUUUUUUUUUUUUUUUUUUUUUUUUUUUUUUUUUUUUUUUUUUUAAAAUCAUGG